GAUGAGGUGGCCGAGUGGUUAAGGCGAUGGACUGCUAAUCCAUUGUGAUAUUCAUGCAUGGGUUCGAAUCCCAUCCUCAUCG